UACGUAGGCAGCGAGCGUUGUUCGGAAUUACUGGGCGUAAAGCGCGCGCAGGCGGCUAUCCAAGUCAGUGGUGAAAGCCCGGAGCUCAACUCCGGAACUGCCAUUGAAACUGUUUAGCUGGAGUAUGAGAGAGGUGAGUGGAAUUCCCAGUGUAGAGGUGAAAUUCGUAGAUAUUGGGAAGAACACCGGUGGCGAAGGCGGCUCACUGGCUCGUAACUGACGCUCAGGCGCGACAGCGUGGGGAUCAAACAGG
rnacentral:rRNA from 1 species